rnacentral:rRNA from 1 species
UCGGGAAUAUUGGGCAAUGGAGGGAACUCUGACCCAGCCAUGCCGCGUGCAGGAUGAAGGCGUUAUGCGUUGUAAACUGCUUUUUAUAUAGGAAGAAAUAGUCCUUGCGAGGAAAGUUGACGGUACUAUAUGAAUAAGCACCGGCUAACUCCGUGCCAGCAGCCGCGGUAAUACGGAGGGUGCAAGCGUUGUCCGGAUUUAUUGGGUUUAAAGGGUGCGUAGGCGGUUUAUAAGUCAGUGGUGAAAGACGGUCGCUCAACGAUUGCAGUGCCAUUGAUACUGGUAGACUUGAGUAUGAUUGAGGUAGCUGGAAUGGAUAGUGUAGCGGUGAAAUGCAUAGAUAUUAUCCAGAACACCAAUUGCGUAGGCAAGUUACUAAGUCAUAACUGACGCUGAGGCACGAAAGUGUGGGUAUCAAACAGGAUUAGAUACCCUCGUAUUCCCUGAGCGGGCUGGCAAGGCGCAU